UACGGAGGGGGCUAGCGUUGUUCGGAAUUACUGGGCGUAAAGCGCACGUAGGCGGCUUUGUAAGUUAGAGGUGAAAGCCCGGGGCUCAACUCCGGAAUUGCCUUUAAGACUGCAUCGCUAGAAUUGUGGAGAGGUAAGUGGAAUUCCGAGUGUAGCGGUGAAAUGCGUAGAUACUGGGAGGAACACCGGUGGCGAAGGCGGCUACCUGGACCGGUUCUGACGCUGAGGCGCGAAAGCGUGGGUAGCAAACAGG
rnacentral:rRNA from 1 species